AUCAACUUUCGAUGGUAGGAUAGAGGCCUACCAUGGUGGUAACGGGUAACGGGGUGCUAGGGCACGACACCGGAGAGGGAGCCUGAGAAACGGCUACCACAUCCAAGGAUGGCAGCAGGCGCGCAAAUUACCCAAUCCCGACACGGGGAGGUAGUGACAAUAAAUAACAAUACGGGGUUCUUUAGGAUUUCGUAAUUGGAAUGAGUACAAUUUAAAUCUCUUAACGAGGAACAAUUGGAGGGCAAGUCUGGUGCCAGCAGCCGCGGUAAUUCCAGCUCCAAUAGCGUAUAUUAAAGUUGUUGCAGUUAAAAAGCUCGUAGUUGAAUUUCGGGGUCAGUAGGUUGGUCAUGCCACUGGUAUGUACUGGCCUCACUGAUUCCUCCUUCCUGAUGAGCCGUAAUGCCAUUAAUUUGGUGUUGCGAGGAAUCUGGACUGUUACUUUGAAAAAAUUAGAGUGUUUAAAGCAGGCUAACGCUUGAAUACAUUAGCAUGGAAUAAUGAAAUAGGACGUUCGAUCUUAUUUUGUUGGUUUCUAAGAUUGACGUAAUGAUUAAUAGGGAUAGUUGGGGGCAUUAGUAUUCAAUUGUCAGAGGUGAAAUUCUUGGAUUUAUUGAAGACUAACUACUGCGAAAGCAUUCGCCAAGGAUGUUUUCAUUAAUCAAGAACGAAAGUUAGGGGAUCGAAGACGAUCAGAUACCGUCGUAGUCUUAACCAUAAACUAUGCCGACUAGGGAUCGGAUGAUGUUAAUUUUUUAAUGACUCAUUCGGCGCCUUACGGGAAACCAAAGUGUUUGGGUUC
rnacentral:rRNA from 1 species